rnacentral:rRNA from 1 species
AUUAAACGCUGGCGGCAGGCCUAACACAUGCAAGUCGAACGAGUGGCGGACGGGUGAGUAAUGUCUGGGAAACUGCACGAUGGAGGGGGAUAACUACUGGAAACGGUAGCUAAUACCGCAUACCAUCGGAUGUGCCCAGAUGGGAUGAGCUAGUAGGUGGGGUAACGGCUCACCUAGGCGACGAUCCCUAGCUGUUCUGAGAGGAUGACCAGCAACACUGGAACUGAGACACGGUCCAGACUCCUACGGGGGGCAGCGGUGGGGAAUAUUGCACAAGGGGCGCAAGCCUGAUGCAGCCAUGCCGCGGGUAUGAAGAAGUUCUUCGGGUUGUAAAGUACUUUCAGCGGGGAGGCGGUACUCGCAGAAGAAGCACCGGCUAACUCCGUGCCAGCAGCCGCGGUAAUUC